AGGAUGAAGGAAGAAUGUUUUAUUUAAAGAAGUGAUCAAAUAAAGCACAUGCAUUUUUGUUUGGUUCUUUAAUAAGAUUGAGUUGAACAGAAAUUUCUGCUAUGACAUAGAUAUGGAUUACAAAUACAAUGUUACUGAUAUGAUUUAAUAAUCAAGAACUCACAUGUUAACAAGUGAAGUGACUUGGUAUCUUGCGUUUCAGUUUGAUAUAGAUCAUUGAAUUGAUUUCAAACGAUAUCAUAUCAUUAGUGAAAGCAACAUGGGACUUACGUCAUAACAAUAUUGUCAGUAUACAUAGCAUAAUAUAUCGCAAGUUCCCUCACAUAAGAUCAUAAUAACUUGGUGUCACAGCACACCUUAUUCCAUGCCAGAUUUUAGAAAUCAAAUUUAUUAUCAAUUUACAUGGUUAACUAUCACAGNNNNN
rnacentral:lncRNA from 1 species